GCUGGGUUCAGGACACCUCCCAACAGCUGGGGAUUCAAGGCCAUUAAUCCUGAGGCCCCAGUGACAGCUGGGAGGAACAGGGGGUUAAAAGUAGUGUCACUGCCUGCAAAGCCCGAACAGAUGUUGUCUUUGUGAUGGCAGGGUGGCUGGUGCCAGCUAUGGCUAUGGAGGAUGAUGGUCCUGAACUGCCUAAAAUAAAAAAGAAGAAAAACAAACCGCCUAUUAAUUAUGGAUGUUGAGGAGGACAACCCCAUAAUAAUACAUUAAGCUUGCUUUUCACAGGCUGGACAAGGUGAAGACAGGGAAAUCUGUGUUGUAGCUGGUGGACAAAGGAAAAGCUGGUAUGAUUGUUGUGAGAGUCAAAAACAGGAGAGAAACAUCUACAUUUAGGAGUCAUUUGGGGGACAUUAUUCUAAAAGUUUUUCAUCUAAAUAUUCUUGAGGGAUGACAAUAAAGUAUGGUUACUUUUGAGAAACGACAAUAAAGAAAAUAUUACAAACAA